CAAAAAGCCCCGACCCACCAGCGGUCCAAGGCCCAGUCGCCCGGCGCGCCUGCGCAGCGGUGGCAGGUGGCGCGCGGGGCGCGGACCGCGGGGAGAGCGCGGGGCGGACGCGGCGCGCACGGUGUGCGCUGGGAGCGCGCCGAGCUCGCACAUGCGCGCUGCGUACUCUAGUUCCUGUCGCGAGCUGAGCUGGAGUUCCGCAGCUGGUAAUUAGGCGCUCUCGGGUCCUCUCCCGCCAUACAGCUAUCGAGCUUUUCUAGAGGAAGAGCUGAUGAAAAGAGUCACAGCUGAAUAGUGGAGAGAAAAAGCCCGGUAUUUAUUGCUUUUGUUUGGCUUUUGGCUACAGAGACAGGAACCUUCUAAUGGGGUCAAACAGCAUCUUUCCAGCUCCACUGCUGACGCCACCCUGGCCACCUGAGAUCACCGCAAGUUCUCCUUGUCUUCCAGAACUCCAGCCACACCACCCGGUCCUAUGCCGCAUGCAGACCUGAAGAGCGUGUGGUCUACUCUUCCUACAGGGACUAAUAUGUCUGAAGAAAUGCUGUUUGGAUAAUCAUUGUUCCUGUUCAUCACAUGCAUUGAGAACCAUGCUGAGACUACCACGGUGAGCAAGAGAAAAUCUCUGGCGGAAAGGGCUUGACACAUAGUGGGGAGUAAGCCAUGACAUUACUCUCGGAUAAAUUCUAUGACUGGAAAGUACGGGAAGGCACAUGGGAAUUAGAGAGUAACUCCACUGCAGAGAACAGCAGAUAAUCCUAAAGAAAGUAAUGUCAGAGUUGCUGUGGUCGGCAUAAC